GGUUGUAGUGUAUAUUUAACUCUAAGAACUACAGUAUUCAGUGAUAUUGUUGGCUUUUGUCUACCUCUACCCGUUUUUAUGACAGAUAAUGAAUUAAUGCCUUCCCAAAUCACAUACAUAAUAACUUAGGAAUUCCGUUUUUAAGGUCUUUCCUCUCCGUGAGGAAAGACCUUAUUGUUUUUCUAAUAAUUUUUUUUUCUUCCAUUUUUUUUGACGUGGCCUCUUCCCCUUUCUGUUGAAGUUAUCAAAACCAAAUAUGGACCAUCGAUAGACCUCAUCAUGAACUUUUGUAGGAUUUCAUCAACCCCUUUAGAAGUUACCUUCCUUUUAUUGAUUUUUUUCAACAUGGCCCCCUUUAAUGUUUUAAGAGAUAUCAUGACCUUAUAUGGACAAAAGGUAGCUAUCAUCAUGAUGUAUUACCAUAUGAGGCUGCAUAGGAUUUCAUCAUCCCCUUUGAGAGUUAAAUCUCCUUGUAGCAAUUUUUUUUAUUUGCGUUUUUCUUUAAAAGUAUUAGGGAUAGAAUAUAAUUGAAAAUAACAGCAUGUUAAAGAACAGAUGGCAAUGUGUAUAAACAUAAACAAUUAAUUUGUUACUUAUCCUUAUAAGGAGUACUUUUUCAAUCUUUUGAUGUUGAAUCUGUAAUAACUCCCUCCUAUUAUCUAGGGUUUUCUUGCAUC
rnacentral:lncRNA from 1 species